GGAACAUAACCUCAAAGUUUAAACAUCCAGAUGUAUUUGACGUAAUCGAACAUGUGGUGGCUUUAAAUUAUACUACGGUCGUGAAACAAUUAUGGAACCCAUGCUCUUGGAGGAGUAUAAAUAUGGACACGCGCCCAGGAGUAUUGUUAACAUUUUGGAGUUUUUUAACCGAAAUAAAUUGCCAUCUGAUAAAAACGAUAUUAUUGUGGGAUUUCUCUAUGUUUUAAUGCUUGAAUGUGGAUUUGUCGAAAUGAACUGUACGGACAUACUCCAGGAUGAUUGCAAUUUUAACUACAAGAGACUGCUCCAACAUUCUAAAACACUUCCUGAAGCUUGGAAGAGAGACAGUCGUUAUCAGUUAAAUUUUAUUUUGAAAUCAAGUCCUCAGCUGGUGUGUAGACUCACUUGCAUGUCGGUGUCCGACGAUCUUUUGGUUAAUUGUACAAUAAAAGAUGUAGACAAUUUCAGCUUUCUUGCCGAUCCUUUAAUGUAUUUCAUAACGUCAAAAGUACAGUUUAAUGAAUUUCAUUUUCAAAAUUUGGAUCAUUUGUCUCGUAGUUUUAAAGACUCGGUGGCUUUUCCUGCAAAAGUCGCUGUUAUUGAAUCAACUGGAGGAAUAUGCACUUGUUUACAACAUUUGCCUUACGAAAUUCUUAUUAGAAUUAUGUCUUAUUUGAACAUUUCUGAUGUAAUGAAUUUAGCUAGAACGAGUACAAGUUUGUGUCAAGUAGCACAAGACUCUGCAUUAUGGGUUAAACUCCUUGCUUCCGAUUUAAAAAAGAAGAAUAUUGUUAAAACCUACGAAGAGUUAAAGUUCUUGUACCAAAUUAAGUACGCUAGAGAAUUAACUAAAAUGAUGAACUAGGGACUUAAGUUGUUUAUAAUUUUGUAACCAAUUUGUUAUCUCAUAAAAAUACAUGUUUAGAGAAAA